AACGAACGCUGGCGGCACGUUUUAAGCAUGCAAGUCGAACGGCAGUGGGGGCAACCCCAUGAGAGUGGCGAACGGGUGAGUAACACGUAGGUGAUCUGCCUUGUGGCUGGGGAUAGCCUGUGGAAACACAGGGUAAUACCGAAUGAGCUGACUGUACUUUUGGGUAUGUUAGUAAAGGCGCUACGGCGCCGCCAUGAGAGGAGCCUGCGGCUGAUUAGCUAGUUGGUGGGGUAAAGGCCUACCAAGGCGACGAGCAGUAGCCGGCCUGAGAGGGUGUACGGCCACACCGGAACUGAGACACGGUCAAGACGCCUACGGGAGGCAACAGCUAAGAAUUUUCCGAAAUGGGCGAAAGCCUGAGGGAGCGAUGCCGCGUGAUCGAUGAAGGUCGAGAGAUUGUAAAGAUCUUUUACAGCUGAGGAAUAAGCCUGGGAGGGAAUGCCCGGGUGAUGACGUUAAGCUGUGAAUAAGCCCCGGCUAAUUACGUGCCAGCCGCCGCCGUAA
rnacentral:rRNA from 1 species